UUCACACGCCACCUCUCAGUCGGCUGUAACAAGUUUCAUUUCAACACCAGACACGUAAAAAGGCAGAGGUACUGUGGGUACUCCAUACUGUGACAAGGCACAAUUCAUUUAAAUCUAUGUGAUCACAUUUGUGUUUUCAAACGGUUAUUAGUGUAAUCCAAAGUUAUGUAUGUUAUGUUGGCUCUGUUCUGCAUCACAAAGGAUUCACUUUGAUUGUAUUAUAUCUAUAUUGGCCAAACAGUGUUGGAAGGGUUAUUGUCAGUUCUUAUACUGUCUCCUAAUUUGAAAACAAGUUUUGAUUUCCAUUGUAGGAGUCAAUAAACUGUGUAUUCCAAAGAAAUUGUGACAUUUUUGGGUCUUAAAUUAUAUUAGUUGAGGUCUUAAAAAGGUCUUAAAAAGCAUUCAAUUUUACUUUUGAAAUGGUGCAAGAACCCUGUGGUAUUGGCACCGACUACUGCAUUUUUGGUAUCGCGACAACCCUAAAGGAGAGAGAGGAUGGUGAUUGAGAAAGGUAGAUAAGCUAUUUUAUUUUUGACCAAAUGUUCUUGUGACUUAUGGAUAGUGGAAUACAUAUUACUGGUACUGUGGUGUUUACUGUGCUAUUGCUUACUGUGCUUACUUUAAGCAACUUUAUUCAAAGUCAGUUAUUUUAUUUCAUAGGCAUAGUAAAUCCGAUUUAAAAAGAACAGAAGGCAUAAUAAUGUUGUCAAUUUUAAACUGUAUUAGAUGUAGUUCAUGUAACAUUGAGAACAUUAAAACGUUUUUUUCUCUUAAUUUAAGGAGAGCUGCCACAAGAUCUACUGUGUUCCUGCUGCGCAACCACCAGUUUCCCUCAUCUAUUGUAGGCACCAUGAUGGAAAACACACCCGUUCGAUUGCUGGUUAUCCUGAGUGAAGACAGCAGCGUCAGAAUGGAGCUACGCAACGGCAUUCCCAAUUCACUGGAAGAGUUAAUAGGCCGCAAUGUGAACACUGUUUUCGUUUCAACCCGCUCCACAGUCGCCCAUCUACACAAUCUUUAGCUCAUAAAAAAGAACAAGUUGUGCUUAGCUACCAAAUCAAAGUUCGUCGCUCACUUUCCAGUCAAUUUUUGGUGCGUCUAUGUUUUAUGCCGAACUAGUUUCUUCAGAGCGUAAUAGGAUCUUGGUCGCGAGUCCCUGGCACUUUUCGACACGUGAUCGUUCUACACCAAUGAGGUAGCUGCUUUUUGUCAACAGAAUGGCAAGAUGGCAGCUCCCGUGGUUAGAUUCAACGUUACCGAUGAAGAGGAAAACACCCGAACAUCCUCAAAAGUGGGUUAAAUGGAUUCUAAAUAGUGUUGUAUACAUAGCCGAGUCCAAUAAGAACAAUGAUACGAUAAUGUUAUGCAUUUUCUAAAGGACUUUUCGUGCUUCACAUUGCGGCCUAUAAUCGAUGAGGUCAAAAAUGCAUUUGGAUUAGAGGUAUUCAUAAGGCUGCAGUACAAGGACACAUAUUUGUGAAUCUGCCCUCUACAACUGUAAUUAAGGAUCUUACAGUUAUCAAAGUAAUCCAGUUAGACCCUGAUUCAACUGUUGUCUUGUACUCACUUGAUCCCCCAGUGAGUAGCACCCCUUUGGUUGGACUGGACUUCUCCUAUGACACAGAAUGUCAACUGCAGAGGGGGAUUGCAGAGUACAUGAGAAGCCAAACUAGACUGACACCUAGCUCAAAAAUGCUGUCAGACAUACUGGAGAAAGGAGCUGAAAGCAUUUACACAUACACAUCAUACCCUGAAGAUUCUGACUUCAGUGAUGUUGCUGAAGCACUGACAAAGAAGCACCCCUGCCUGAAAGAACCAGGGUCUUUCAAUGAGAGCUAUGGUUGGAAGCACAGGAUGAAGGCCAACUACAGGACCCAACGUAAGGCACACGGUACAUCUGCUGAGGUCACAGUGAAUUCUUUGAAAUCUCAAGUCUCAAGGGGACUCCUACCCAGCAAAGAACGUCAAGAGAUCUAGACGAGCUUCUUCUUUUUUUCAAAACUCUACACACAAAAUGCCUCACAUCUCCUUCAAAAUGCAAUAAACACAUGUCAGAAUGAAGGAUUUGCAUCAAAUGGCAAACACUUCUUUCAUAAUAAUAAUUUUUUGGAUAUACCAUGUAAACACUGCUGUUCUAAAGCUAAAGCUCUUUGGUCUUUCAUAGUCUUAUAUAUACAUUUCAAUACAAUGUGCUACAGUGAAAGUGAUGUGCUGAGAGGGGUAACAAGUACAACGGGAACGCCAAUGCAAUGUAGAAACAGAAAAUAUUUAUUAGGCCAAAGAUUACUGUUGUAUACAUUAGCAUGUACACUAUAAACAUGUAAACCAAAAGUAUAUUAUUUACAGUAGAAUACAGUAAAUUGUGUGUGGGGUCCUGGUCCAGGAAUUGGCAGGGGAGGAGGGGGGGGUGCAGUCCCGAGUGCUAAGCUUCAUCUCUUCUCCGAGCUGGGUCUGGCCACAAUACUUCGUCCACAUCAAAAGAUACGUUUUCUCUUGUCAAACAUCGAGGGAAGUAUCUCCUAGCAUGGCGUAUCCAACCUUGGGAUAUCAUGAGUUCCAGUUUUAAGUCCUAAAUCGAAGUCCUUUUAAAUAUCACAACAACUGUGUAGGAGCCAUAUUGAGCUGUAUAUGUGUGUGUGUGUGUGUGUGUGACGAGUGAACGAGUAAUAUGGCCACAGGUCUGUACACGCCACCUAGAGGACGGUUGGGAGGCUGAAGUUGGAGCCCAAGGAAAGGCUUUAAAGACAGGAAGACACAGCAGUGGCCUGAGAGGGAAACAGUCUUUUGACCGUGUGGUGGAGUGACACGAGGGGCAUGACGUUACAGGCCGUCUCCCACCAUAUAAGAGACUGCUUUAGUUUGUUUAUUUUCACCUCAUGUUUUUGGUUUGUAAUUGCUCUUUACAUAUUAAGAGCAAUAAAUGGUCAUUGCACCGACCUGGAUCAACUUCUACUCCUCAUCUUUACAAACUGCACGCGUCAAGAUAUAUCCAGCUCAGCCACCGGUAGUAGCUGAUCAGGGAUUAAGGCCUUUACUACAAGCCUUUGCCUGGAUUACAAAAACCCUUAAUUCUACCCCUACAGUUGGAUGUAGAAUAGAUUUGUUAUUAAAGUGAUAAUCAAAAGCUCUUUCCCAGUGCUCAUUUAGGGAGUCACUGUCUUGAGGAGUCCAAGGCCAGAGGAAAAGCAGAAAAUGUCAACCAGGCAGACCCAGGUCAGAUAAGGAUGAGAGUUAGAGACACACCAAACAACAACACGCACACUUUGUUCACAUGUUAGAAGACCACACAUUGCAUGUGAUUGGAUCUUGUGGCGAGAGGACCUGCUCCUCCUCGACGCCAGUUUAGGGCCAAUAGAAAUCUUCUUUUAUAUCUAACAAGAAAUACAAAAUGUAAUGUUUUUCCUGAUAUUAGUCCGUUGUUCUUCCAGCCUGCGGGCAACAGAACUGCUCCUGCCUUUGCAAACGCAGCGCUUAUAUUUUACCUGUAAUCUGAUAAAUACAUCUACCAGAACGACAGAAGUCGUUUGGCUGAAUCCUUCCAGAUGUCUCCAACCGGGCUUCCAAUUUUGUUCACGAUCUUUCAAAAGGACUCACAGAACUCUCCGUUACGCCUUCUCCUCAUCCACUCAAUUGGGGUGACUAUUGACCUAAUUGCCCCUCUAAUUAGUAUAAUACAAAACAUAAGGUGAAAUAACCAAUACAGGUGUGAUGAAGAUUUUCCCCCUUGCAGUCCUAUGAAGGCUAUUUGGCCGAAACGUUAUUUUCUUUCAACCUUUAGCCAUGCUGCUUCUUAAAUGUUGGUUCUAUUUCCAAUAUUACAUUUUAUUCUCUUAAUGUUUUUAUACUUAUUUAUCAUGAAUAAAUUUGAGUACUGGAUCACGAAAGAACAGAUUUGAAAAUAACAGCAAGCCUAUUGUUCAACGCAAACAAACUCCUUGUCUUUGUGUCCCCCGAUUUAAAACAUAAAAACCCAAAACUGUAAUAACUGAAAAAGAACAUUUUCUUUUUCUUACGUGUCCUACUUACCUCUUAAAUGUGUUGACAAUCCAAUGGCUCAUCCUGCGGCCAUCGGAAGUCAUUCUUGAGCGGAAGGGAUGCUCUAAAACCGGCCCUUGCUAACGGAAAUAAUUUGGAGAACUAUCGGCGGGCCUGCAGGAUUUGCCCCCCUUGGAUACGGCGGCAAUGGACAAAGUGAUUUCAUAUGGCAGAGGUUACUGCAAAAAACUACUUGCCAACUCGUCCAUUGCUAUCUGGUCCACAAUGCUGGAGGGCAGGUGUUCUGUUGAUUUUUGCUGCUUUGUUCUCCUCUACAUAAAUCGAUAUCGAUUUACCGAAAUCUGUAUAGAUUUAUGGUUUUCUACCUCUGUACAUCAAAUUAUUAUUUUGAUAGCACAAUAACACCUUAUCAAAUAUUGCUCCCUCUACUCAAUGCAGUCAUGUAAGACUGCUAAUCACCUCACCCCCACUGUAGGAUGAAUGGCAUCAUAUUCAUCACAUUUUUGAAAGUACAAUCCACAUUUUUUAGGUUUUCAUGCCUUUUAAUGACAGGACAGGAAUGAAGGAGAGACAAGACAUGGAAGGCAGAGAGAGGGGGGGUGACACGCAGUGAGGGACCGUCGAUGUGGGAUUUCAACCGCCUGCACAGACCACUGCGCCACUGAGAGCCCCGCAAACACAUUUUGGGCAUUUGUAUGGUGUGCCACUGUUUUUGAUGUAACCGGCCGCACCUACAAAAAAGGAAAUGAUAUAUGUAAAUGGUAAUAACCAAUACAAAGCACUAGGGCUGGGCAAUUAAUAGAAAAAGAAUCAAAACUGACAUUUUAUAAACUAAAACUGACUUAAUCUUGCUCAUGUCAAUUAAUUGUGGUUUUAACUCUUGCAUAUAUUUGAGGAAAUUGAAAGCUCCAGUUUAUACUUUUAACCCAACCCAUGAUCUUUUCAUAGCCAUAUUCAAGUGGGUUUUGUGCCCUAAAAAGCACCAAUGAUAUGAUACUUUACCAUUUCGAACACGCUGGUAUCUCCAUCUGUUUCCAGAUAGGAGCACACCACGCAGUAUCAUCUGCAUUCCCUGUAAACCAUGGAUUUUUAGAUUUACAACUAAAUGUACAAAGCACAAUUUGUACAUACAUAGUAAAUAAUAAGUAAAGUAAACUGAUUUAUAAAGUAAAAUCAGUGUUCGAUAUCACUGACCUUUUGACUGAAGCAGUGCACAAGCUUGUGCAACAAGUUUUGAUAAGCUAGAUCUAACCAUCAACACCAAAAUGCCACAGCUCCAGGCGUCCUGCGGCAUUUUCUGGACUGCCCAUUUUUCUGUGUGUUGUUGACAGUUUGCCUUCUGCAAGUACUUUCUAAUUGUCAAAAUCAGUAAAAAAAAAGACACAUACACACACACACAACGGUUGUGUAUCAUGAAAACUUUUCAUCGUUAUCAACACUUUAAACAUGAAUGUAAAAUUGAUUGAUUGGCAUACAAAGAUAAUUAAUGUGUUUCUCAACCCUAAACAACAUUACCUCCCAGUUUCGCAGUACUUUCCUCUCAUAUGAACCCUCAUUUCCCACUGGAUCGAUGAGCAGACCUUGAGAAUUUGACAGUGUGACAAGCUUGCCACUGACAUGUCUAAUUAAAUAAGAACCAGAGAAAUCCGGCUCAAUUUUGCCUCCUUUCCUCAUGUUAUAAAGCAGGACCUCAUCACCAACAUUGUACGAGAUCUGUUUGUGUUUUUUCAAGACUUGUUUGGCAUAAGCCUGCCUUUGCCUUUCUUGGCUGUUUUCGAUUUUGCCUACUGCUUUUAAAUUUGCAAUCUCCAUUGCCUUUUGCUGUUCCCGAAGUACCACAUCACACUUGUUUUCACUUGGUACGGUAAUGGUUGAAAGCUGAAAUAAAAAAAUAUGAAAAUGUUA